CGGGUGCACUGAUCCGGCCGGGCCUUUCCCUCUGUGGAACCCCAUGGCCUUCACUGGCUGUGCGGGGGAAACAGGACUUUUACUGUGAAAAAAUUAGAGUGCUCCAGGCAGGCCUAUGCUCGAAUACAUUAGCAUGGAAUAAUAGAAUAGGACGCGUGGUUCUAUUUUGUUGGUUUCUAGGACCGCCGUAAUGAUUAAUAGGGACAGUCGGGGGCAUCAGUAUUCAAUUGUCAGAGGUGAAAUUCUUGGAUCUAUUGAAGACUAACUACUGCGAAAGCAUUUGCCAAGGAUGUUUUCAUUGAUAAGGAACGAAAGUUAGGGGAUCGAAGACGAUCAGAUACCGUCGUAGUCUUAACUAUAAACUAUGCCGACUAGGGAUCGGACGAUGCUAUUUCUUGACGCGUUCGGCACCUUUCGAGAAAUCAAAGUGCUUGGGCUCCAGGGGGAGUAUGGUCGCAAGGCUGAAACUUAAAGAAAUUGACGGAAGGGCACCACCAGGGGUGGAACCUGCGGCUUAAUUUGACUCAACACGGGGAAACUCACCAGGUCCAGACACAAUGAGGAUUGACAGAUUGAGAGCUCUUUCUUGAUUUUGUGGGUGGUGGUGCAUGGCCGUUCUUAGUUGGUGGAGUGAUUUGUCUGCUUAAUUGCGAUAACGAACGAGACCUUAACCUGCUAAAUAGCCCGUACUGCUCUGGCAGUUCGCCGGCUUCUUAGAGGGACUAUCGG
rnacentral:rRNA from 1 species